rnacentral:rRNA from 1 species
UACGUAGGGGCCUAGCGUUGUCCGGAAUUAUUGGGCGUAAAGAGCUCGUAGGCGGUUCGGCAAGUCGGAUGUGAAAUCUCCACGCUUAACGUGGAGGGGCCAUUCGAAACUGCUGUGACUCGAGUCCGGUAGGGGAGUGUGGAAUUCCCGGUGUAGCGGUGAAAUGCGCAGAUAUCGGGAGUAACACCAGCGGCGAAGGCGGCACUCUGGGCUGGUACUGACGCUGAGGCGCGAAAGCGUGGGGAGCGAACAGG